rnacentral:rRNA from 1 species
GGAGCUUGCUCCACCGGAAAAAGAAGAGUGGCGAACGGGUGAGUAACACGUGGGUAACCUGCCCAUCAGAAGGGGAUAACACUUGGAAACAGGUGCUAAUACCGUAUAACAAUCGAAACCGCAUGGUUUUGAUUUGAAAGGCGCUUUCGGGUGUCGCUGAUGGAUGGACCCGCGGUGCAUUAGCUAGUUGGUGAGGUAACGGCUCACCAAGGCCACGAUGCAUAGCCGACCUGAGAGGGUGAUCGGCCACAUUGGGACUGAGACACGGCCCAAACUCCUACGGGAGGCAGCAGUAGGGAAUCUUCGGCAAUGGACGAAAGUCUGACCGAGCAACGCCGCGUGAGUGAAGAAGGUUUUCGGAUCGUAAAACUCUGUUGUUAGAGAAGAACAAGGAUGAGAGUAACUGUUCAUCCCUUGACGGUAUCUAACCAGAAAGCCACGGCUAACUACGUGCCAGCAGCCGCGGUAAUACGUAGGUGGCAAGCGUUGUCCGGAUUUAUUGGGCGUAAAGCGAGCGCAGGCGGUUUCUUAAGUCUGAUGUGAAAGCCCCCGGCUCAACCGGGGAGGGUCAUUGGAAACUGGGAGACUUGAGUGCAGAAGAGGAGAGUGGAAUUCCAUGUGUAGCGGUGAAAUGCGUAGAUAUAUGGAGGAACACCAGUGGCGAAGGCGGCUCUCUGGUCUGUAACUGACGCUGAGGCUCGAAAGCGUGGGGAGCAAACAGGAUUAGAUACCCUGGUAGUCCACGCCGUAAACGAUGAGUGCUAAGUGUUGGAGGGUUUCCGCCCUUCAGUGCUGCAGCUAACGCAUUAAGCACUCCGCCUGGGGAGUACGACCGCAAGGUUGAAACUCAAAGGAAUUGACGGGGGCCCGCACAAGCGGUGGAGCAUGUGGUUUAAUUCGAAGCAACGCGAAGAACCUUACCAGGUCUUGACAUCCUUUGACCACUCUAGAGAUAGAGCUUCCCCCUUCGGGGGCAAAGUGACAGGUGGUGCAUGGUUGUCGUCAGCUCGUGUCGUGAGAUGUUGGGUUAAGUCCCGCAACGAGCGCAACCCUUAUUGUUAGUUGCCAUCAUUUAGUUGGGCACUCUAGCAAGACUGCCGGUGACAAACCGGAGGAAGGUGGGGAUGACGUCAAAUCAUCAUGCCCCUUAUGACCUGGGCUACACACGUGCUACAAUGGGAAGUACAACGAGUCGCGAAGUCGCGAGGCUAAGCUAAUCUCUUAAAGCUUCUCUCAGUUCGGAUUGUAGGCUGCAACUCGCCUACAUGAAGCCGGAAUCGCUAGUAAUCGCGGAUCAGCACGCCGCGGUGAAUACGUUCCCGGGCCUUGUACACACCGCCCGUCACACCACGAGAGUUUGUAACACCCGAAGUCGGUGAGGAACCUUUGGAGCCAGCCG